CUCCUUUUUUUUUCAUUUCUCAAAGUCUGUAUGGAAUUCAAGCAUUAAAUCUCUCUGCCUCUACCCAAUCCAGUCCACACAUAGUCCUCCUUAUUUUAAUCUCUUCCUCUUUCUCCCUGCCAUUUCAUUCUAUUCUUGUAUGUAUUCUUUCCAUUAUAUUACCUAAUCCUUACAUAGGAAGCAUUUCUAUACUGUCUGCUUUACUUCACAGAAUCUCCUCAAUAUGUUUCUAUAGCCUUAGAAGUAGGAAGAUUUUUGUCCUUAUAUGUCAGUACAGACUUUUUUUCCUCCCCAGAAAAAUCUUAAAAGCUAAAAUUUAUCAAGUGAAAAAGAAAUAGUAAUUUUGAAACUGGAAAAUGUUUACUACCUAAUGCCAUUUAACUUAAGCCUAUUCAGUGAUUUCGUGUAUGUGACUUCCAUAAUUAUUAUUUGAAAAAAAAAAGGCAGAAGAAGAAAAGGACAAAAAGAGAGAGUGGGGUAAAGCAGUGUGGGAUAGGAAGAAGAGAAAAAUAUGUGCAUUUGCAUUUGGUUGUUCAAGACUCAAAGCAACUAGGCAUUCACAAGGAGCUAUCCAAAUGUUUAUAGUAGGUUCUACUAUUUAAUGAAAGUAAAACAAACUAAAACCAAAGACUGUAAUUAUGUUUAACAUUUCCAAUUUUUUAAGGAAUAUAAGCCAAAAUGUAUCCAUGUGUAUCCAUGAUUCUAGCUUACUUAGCUCCUGUUUAUGAAAAUGUAUAUCCAGAGAAAAAGUAGUUAUUUUAUGUUACAUUUACUAACAUUUAAGUUCUGUCAUCCCUGUUAAGGAAAUUGGGAAUGGAGACAAUUCCUCAGUAAUCAUACCGAAGUUCCUGCUGCUUCUCUGCCCUUCAAAAGUGAUCCCUGCUGGGAGAUCGAGACCAUCCUGGCUAACAAGGUGAAACCCCGUCUCUACUAAAAAUACAAAAAAUUAGCCGGGCGCGGUGGCGGGCGCCUGUAGUCCCAGCUACUCGGGAGGCUGAGGCAGGAGAAUGGCGUGAACCCGGGAAGCGGAGCUUGCAGUGAGCCGAGAUUGCGCCACUGCAGUCCGCAGUCCGGCCUGGGCGACAGAGCGAGACUCCGUCUC
rnacentral:lncRNA from 1 species